CACGGGAAAUGGUCGGGAUAGCUCAGUUGGUAGAC
rnacentral:tRNA from 1 species